rnacentral:sRNA from 1 species
UAGCCUUUGUCCACUUUGUGUCAUCGUCGAGGUAUUCUCUGGAAUUACCGCUCCCACACCCCAAGUGAGCAGUAGUUUCCCUACGGAGUAUUGAAAUGGUGUCAUACUCCGCAUCCGAGGAAACGAUAUUUAGGAUCAUGUUUGUGAUAGCCAUGCUGGUCUGAUGAAUCGCUUCAAAGUUGGCCAUGCAGAGCCGGUUGGUCAGAUCCCAGAUAUUGAGUUCGUCAGGCCGCUCCUUUCGCGCGAAUCGAAACAACAUUUGAAAAAAAUCAGUACACUUGUCAUCGGCAGUGUCAUGGGCCAUACACUCUUCGAAACGAGGCUCUAUUAACUUUCGAACCCG